rnacentral:rRNA from 1 species
GGGGAUAACCUUGCGAAAGUAAGACUAAUACCCAAUGAUAUCCCACGAAGGCAUCCGAAUGGAUUAAAGAUUUAUCGGUGAUGGAUGGGGAUGCGUCUGAUUAGCUUGUUGGCGGGUAACGGCCCACCAAGGCUACGAUCAGUAGGGGUUCUGAGAGGAAGGUCCCCCACAUUGGAACUGAGACACGGUCCAAACUCCUACGGGAGGCAGCAGUGAGGAAUAUUGGUCAAUGGGCGAGAGCCUGAACCAGCCAAGUAGCGUGCAGGAUGACGGCCCUAUGGGUUGUAAACUGCUUUUAUAAGGGAAUAAAGUGGGUCUCGUGAGACUUUUUGCAUGUACCUUAUGAAUAAGGACCGGCUAAUUCCGUG